rnacentral:rRNA from 1 species
UACGUAGGGGGCAAGCGUUGUCCGGAUUUAUUGGGCGUAAAGAGCGCGCAGGCGGUCGUUCAAGUCGCGUGUGAAAGCCCCCGGCUCAACUGGGGAGGGUCACGCGAUACUGAUCGACUCGAAGGCAGGAGAGGGAAGUGGAAUUCCCGGUGUAGUGGUGAAAUGCGUAGAUAUCGGGAGGAACACCAGUGGCGAAGGCGACUUCCUGGCCUGUUCUUGACGCUGAGGCGCGAAAGCUAGGGGAGCAAACGGG